GGUACAUUGAAGAAGACUCUCAUUGCUGCCUGAACUCUCUAAAACUCAACACAAGAUGAGGAAGCUCUAAAGAAGAGUUGGAAGCUGAAGUGCAGUAAUGGGACCUAACUUCACUGAAUAAGUCACCAGAAUGAAGAGGUCUCAUCCUUGAUACACACACCAAUGUAGCUGAUGAGAACUGGAGCCUGCCAAUCAUGACUGAUAGAUGAUGCUCAGAUUACUGCCAGGCCUGCCACAGUGUGCCCGAAGAUGUGAAUCUUCUAAACGGUGAUGAAGUCCUUCCUCCACUGCACAAGUCUUUCAGACAGAGAAUUCCUGUCUUACAUGAAGAGGAAUUUGUGGAUGGACCUAUACCAGAUAAAGAAACUGAGUCACAGACUUCUGUCGUGCAGCCUUUUAGAAGACUUCUAACACUGCUGACAUGCCUGACAUGGACAUUCAGAAAAUGUGUAUUCCAGAUUGUGAUUUCAAGUUUGGUGCCAAUGAAGAAGUGAGUGUCUGGGACUUUCUAUAAUUCUCAGGGUAUCAUUCAAGUUUCAGCUUCUGCCCAAUAAGUACACAGACAUAUGACCAAGGGAGGCUGAGAUUAUUCCACCUAAUCCUAGGGAGCUCCUGACUCCUCCUUCUAGGUUAGAGGAUUUUAGAUCUUUCACCUGCUCCCAAAGUGGUAGCAAGAAUUCUUCUUCUGCCCACAUAGGCUUUCUCUGCCUACCUAAGUUCUGCCAUGCUAUAGGUCCCAAGCAGUAUCUUAUUUAUUAAUGGUGAUCACAGCACACAGAGGGGACUCCCUCAUCAUGGAUAUGCUCCACCUACCCAGAGAAGUCUGAGAGUAUCCUCUCUUUCUUACUGAAGUGGCUUUUAGACUAUGCCCUCUCCCAAGUAUACCCCCAAGUUUUGUCUUCUGACCAAAGGGUUUCAGACCUGCCUGCUCUACUAGAGAGGUACAUACAAGGGUUCUCAGAUCUUCUGAACAUGACCCUGUGGGAGUACAAUUACUAGGACCAUAUAAUUGGGCCACAUACCAUUCUGAUGUGACCAAAGGAGUUUCAGUUUACUGCCUAUGAUUUACCAGACAGCCUCAGAUCUACUCAUUCUGCAAGUUGUCUUCAAAUAGGCCCUUUGGUUCAAGGAGAGCCUCACACUCUUCUCCUCUGAUUCAGUGGCCUCAGACAUUCCCCCACCCAAACCUGAGACCAUAGAAUACUUUUCUUCACACAAGGACUUCUCCAGACAUCCCAGGCUUAAAGACUCCAAGUCCAUGUGUAGGAAGUAGAGUCUAGAAUUGAAGCCCACAGCCUCAAAGCCAAAAUCAAUAUAAUGUGGUCUCCAUCAUUCAAACUUAGAUCUGAGCAGCUGAACAUAUGCUUGAGAAGGAGAACAAGAUUGGGACUCUCAUGCAGACUUUUGGAAAAUACUCAGACUGCUGCCUCACCUACCACUCAUUCUCUACAGUGGACAGAUAUCCAAGUAUCUGAUGAAGAGCUGGAAGCUGAUAAGGCAGUUCCUGUAAUGUGUUCCAUUGUAUGAGGUGGGCCGGGACUUUGAUCUCAUGUCAAGCAGUGGGUAUGCUGAUUUCCAACUUUACCCAACCCAACAUGCUAUUCAAUAUUUAUAAUAACCCCCAGAUUUCCACACUCCUCACAAGACACCAUCAAACAUUUCCCCUCUGACCCUGGGGUCCUUGUAUUUUCUCCAAAGCUCUUGUUUCCUCCCUUCUUCCCCAUACACCUUGGCAAGCCUCUGACCUAACAUUGCUGAUCCUUUGAUCCCUAUUUGUAAAUUUCUGACUUAUGUGUGGGGCAUUCAAGGUCUGAAUAUGAGGCCUUCAAUAGUGUUCCCAUUGACCAAGGGUGUCUCACACAUACUCUUUUCCUUUAAUGGAGUAUUCAAACUCCACAUCUGGCCAACAGAAUUUCAGAUCUUCCUUUUCUGUAAUG